GUUAACAGAAAUAAGUAGUCGGAAGUGUUUUUUUUUUCAAUCUUAAAAUCGAUUAGCGUCUCGACUAGCAGUUUUGUUUUCUUUUAUUUCAUAAAAUAAUUUUCUGUGAUUCUACUGUUCCACUAAUAUUCCGGAGAAAAAUGAGUUGGUUUGCUAGGAUAGCUACAAUGGGAUUUUUUGUGAAGCAGUUGUUAUUUUAUGUUGCCAAUAUGGUUAUGAUAGCACGUAAGUACUACUUGCUACAAUAAUUCUUUUACCCUAUUGGAAAGAACCACCGUAUCCUGACCCUCUUAAAUUCCAAAAUGAGGAUAAUAUUGUGCGACAACCGCACAUUUAUCGGCACAUUCAGUGCCUAUGAUAAGCAUAUGAAUAUUGUGUUGACUAAUUGUGCAGAGUACAAGAACUAUGUAAACAAACGAAAGAUUACAAUUAAAGGAAAGAAAACGAUCGGCACUGCCAUAAUAAGAGGAGAAAAUAUUGUAUCUGUGAUAGUUGAAACUCUUCCAGAGGAAUCUCGCUCUGCUGGAAGCAGCAGUCGCCGUUCCAGACAUUAAACAUAUGUCUUGCAACUACUAAUUUGACAAGUGGAAGUUUCAGUAUCAUGUUUCAUCGUACAAAAAGCAUUUGUCAUUAACACUAAACACAUCGUAACCAGUCUUAAAGACCAGUUAGGUUAUGGUAUAACCAGUCAUUGUAUAUUAUAUUGUUAAGUAUUGGUAUGUUUAUGGUAUAACCAGUUAUUGUAUGUUGUUAAGUGUUGGUAUGCUUAUGGUGUAACCAGUGUUGUAUUGUUAAGUGUUGGUAUUUUUAUGGUGUAACCAGUGUUGUAUUGUUAAGUGUUGUGUUUUGUAUAAAAUGAACAAUUUAAUCUUUGUAAGCUUUAUGGAAUUGUUUGAGAAAUGUUGCCAAAACGAACUUAUUUACUGUAUUUUAAAUAUAUAUGAUUAGAGGUAGAGUUGACUGUAUGUCAGCAGUUCCCAUAGGGCUACAGAACCCUAAAUGAUCGAGCAUCUUUUGGCAUAAUCCCUAAUCAAGAUUUCUAAACUGUAAGGUUUGCUCUUCCCGAGGUUUUUUUUUCUUCUUCAAAGAGGCAAAAUUAUGACAUAGCAUACUCAUACUGUUUGUCUACGAUAGGUACUCUGUCCGCCACAAAGUCUGCGGCAGUCUGGUGCUAUGGAAACAAGAAGAGAGCAUUUUAGGGAGGGUGGCUUCGAUGAAGUGGUCUCAUUUUCUUUCGCCUUCGAUGAUAGCUUGUACGGGGAGUAUACCAGAUUGGCUGACUCAGCCACCAGUAGGAGACUUAUUUAAUCUGAUUCAAGAACUUUUUUAAGAUUCGCAUGAAUAUUUCUUUCUUACUUAAAAUAAUUCUCUCGAUUCAAUCAGUUGUUAUUUUUUAAAUACAAAGGAAAAAAAGUGAACAAAUUCUGACAUUAAGGGUAGUACAGGUUUUUUUAAUAUUACUUUUUAAUUUUACGAUAUUUAUUAUGAAUGUUCAUUGAUUGUUAGAUGGUUUAAUUUCUAAACUUGCACAUUUUUUAAAGCAGUUAAUUUCUUUUAUUACUUGAAUUUUCUGGAAAAAGUGAAGAGCUUAAACUUAAUAACUCUGAUUUUAAAAGGAGAUAAAACUUUUGCUGAAAAUAAAAAUAGUUCACGUUAUCUGUGCCGGAGAAAUAUUAAAUAUCUUUGUUUUGAUUAUUAAUUUUUAAAUAUUUUAUUUAUUUAUUUAUUUUUUUUUUUUUUUUUUGAAACUGAAAGCAAGUGACCGCAACUAGGAUGAAAUCUAAAACUAUCAACGAUGAUUUUUAUCAGCACCCAUCAAACCAUCUGAAAUUAUCUGAAGUUUUUUUUGCUUAAAUUACGUUUUCUUAUUCAUAUUUUAUUGUAACCUGUACAGUUUUUUUUCACUAUUUAUUAAAAACAGUUUUUAUUAGCAAAUUUAUUUUUUUCUUAAUAACCAAUUUACUAUGUAUGAUAAAUUUAUAGAUGAGUUAUUUAUUAAUAAAACAUUGAGCUGCUUUAAACAAUUUUAUACAAUUUCCAUACAUAUUCCAUACAUACAUAUAAAUUUUUUUAAUUUUUUUUCUAAAACAGAAGCUUUUGAAAAAGAGAAAAGAUUAAAAAAAAGGAAUCACACGCUCUAAACGAUGUUUCAGGCGCGAAUGCUCAUUUCUCUUAACUCUAGGGCUAAUACAAUAGAUCGAAGAAAGAAGUCUUCUUUUCUCCCACGGAAACCAGUCUUAAAGAGGGGCCCCGCACCCCUACUUGAAAUAAUCAUACCUCGUUACCAUAGUCCCCGCCACCCCUCCAGACGAAUGGCGGACAGAGUACCUAUCGUAGACAAACA
rnacentral:misc_RNA from 1 species